CUGAGCCUUCUGCUCCUCUCCCCCCUCUCCGGGAGGCGACAUCUCCGCGGGCUUCACCUCUGCAAGGGAGGAAACCCAAAGAGAAAGAUCAGGCCGUCGACUUGAAGAAGCGGGCAAUGGCUGCAUCCGUGACGUCAUAGGCAUCGUGGCUGCUCUGCGGCUGACGCUCCAUGUCCCGACUGCUGUCGAGGAGGCUGUGAGCUUCAGCAGAGGCUGCUCCGGAUCUCCUGAGACCCCCGGCUCACGACUCAAGGCUAGAGCGGUGGCCCACGAUCUGGCACGUUAAGGCUCCUCUGGAGGCUGGUCCGGUUUCAGAGAUUCUGGUUUGGUUUAGGAGUAGAAGGGCCAAGUGUCGG